CUAGAUUCCUACGGGAGGCAGCAGUAGGGAAUCUUCCGCAAUGGACGAAAGUCUGACGGAGCAACGCCGCGUGAGUGAUGAAGGCUUUCGGGUCGUAAAACUCUGUUGUUAGGGAAGAACAAGUGCUAGUUGAAUAAGCUGACACCUUGACGGUACCUAACCAGAAAGCCACGGCUAACUACGUGCCAGCAGCCGCGGUU
rnacentral:rRNA from 1 species